CCGAACUGGAGGCCCAGCCAGGAAUGGAGCUGGCUGCCGGUGAGCCUGCUAUGCUGCCUCCUGAAGCCCGUAGGGGACCUGCUGCCAACCAGCCUGGCUGGCGGGGGGAACUGCAGGAGGAAGGUGCUGUGGGGGGAGCACCUGAGGAAACAGGUCAGCGGGAGUGCACAAGCAAUGUGAGGAGGGCUCAAGCCAUCCGGAGACGACACAAUGCAGGCAGCAACCCUACGCCGCCAGCCUCUGUCAUGGGCUCACCACCUAGCCUACAGGAGGCUCAGCGGGGCCGGGCUGCUUCCCACUCCCGGGCACUGACUCUGCCCUCUGCUCUGCACUUUGCCUCUUCCCUGUUGCUCACCCGAGCUGGCCCCAACGUACAUGAA
rnacentral:lncRNA from 1 species